GCCUGACUGGCUCAGUGGGUAGAACAUGUGACUCUUGAUCUUAGAGUCGUGAGUUCAAGCCCCACAUUGGGCA
rfam:Felis catus isolate Cinnamon breed Abyssinian chromosome B3, whole genome shotgun sequence.